rnacentral:lncRNA from 1 species
CCCUAUAUAAAGAGAUCUAGGGGAGGCAGAAAAGGGGGAGCUUCAUUCAUUCAUUCAUCCACCACUGCUUUCACUUUUCUUUCAUUAUGUGUUUCUAAGCUCCUAGGGCUAUUUUGCUGUAAUUUCAUUAUGGANUCUGAGGUUAAGUGAAUUAAUGCAAUUGUUUAUUUUGAUUAUUGAUUUAAGUUAAUCUCUCUAUAUGUCUUUCAUCUCUCU